rnacentral:rRNA from 1 species
UACAGAGGUGGCAAGCGUUGUUCGGAAUUACUGGGCGUAAAGGGCUCGUAGGCGGCCAACUAAGUCAGACGUGAAAUCCCUCGGCUUAACCGGGGAACUGCGUCUGAUACUGGAUGGCUUGAGUUCGGGAGAGGGAUGCGGAAUUCCAGGUGUAGCGGUGAAAUGCGUAGAUAUCUGGAGGAACACCGGUGGCGAAGGCGGCAUCCUGGACCGAUACUGACGCUGAAGUGCGAAAGCGUGGGGAGCAAACAGG